AGAGUCACUCCUACGGGAGGCAGCAGUGGGGAAUAUUGGACAAUGGGGGCAACCCUGAUCCAGCAAUGCCGCGUGAGUGAUGAAGGCCUUCGGGUUGUAAAGCACUUUUAUCAGGAGCGAAAUACUACUGGCUAAUAACCGGUGGGGCUGACGGUACCUGAGGAAUAAGCACCGGCUAACUUCGUGCCAGCAGCCGCGGUAAUACGAAGGGUGCAAGCGUUAAUCGGAAUUACUGGGCGUAAAGCGUGCGUAGGCGGUGAGUUAAGUCUGUUGUGAAAUCCCCGGGCUCAACCUGGGAAUGGCAAUGGAUACUGGCUCGCUAGAGUGUGAUAGAGGAUGGUGGAAUUCCCGGUGUAGCGGUGAAAUGCGUAGAGAUCGGGAGGAACAUCAGUGGCGAAGGCGGCCAUCUGGAUCAACACUGACGCUGAGGCACGAAAGCGUGGGGAGCAAACAGGAUUAGAUACCCUGGUAGUCCACGCCCUAAACGAUGCGAACUGGAUGUUGGUCUCAACUCGGAGAUCAGUGUCGAAGCUAACGCGUUAAGUUCGCCGCCUGGGGAGUACGGUCGCAAGACUGAAACUCAAAGGAAUUGACG
rnacentral:rRNA from 1 species